GAGCCCAAAGAAGCCAUCACUUCCUUAUUUCUUUCAGGUAUUUUGGUUCCAACAGUGCAAAGUCAACCAACACUUGGAGCUCCUGCAUGCCUCUGAGGCAUCUCAGAGCCUGGCAUCCUGGCCAUGACUGAGAAUAUCCAGAGAAGGAUACUCUAGGAUCACCAUGUGAGUUCUUAGCUUGUAUUCCCACCACCAUAUCUUCAAGCCACCAUCAUGGACUCUAUCCCUCUGGAACUUUCAGUCCACCAGCAAACACCAAACAUGAAUCUGCAACUACAGACCAGUCCCCUGGGCAGACACCACACAGGAAUCAGCAGCUAUAGUCCACUCCACCUAGCAGACACCACACAUGAACCAGCAAGAAGAAACCAGAAGAAACCGAGAGGCUCUCCAACAUUGUAAUGGCAAGAAGCUGCUGGAACAUCACAAGAAGU